rnacentral:misc_RNA from 1 species
UGUGCGUGUGCGUUUGUGU